UUCACCUCCUCCUAUAACAAUAAUCAUUCAAAUUGCAGUUAAUUCGUUCCUAUUGCAAGUAAUUCAUUCUAUUAAUAAAAUAAAGUAAAUGCAUAACACAUAUCAAUAUAUCCCAAUCCGAUCUUGCCCCAAUUCAUUAGAAUUUAAAACUUUUUAAUCUUAAAAUUAAUCAAAUUAAUCUUAAUAUAUAAAUAAGCAUCAAUCUUUUUGAUUGAUUAUACUUCUUAUUAUUACCAGCUUUUAUACUAUACAGAAAAUUGAAAGAAGAAAAUAAGAUAAAAUUGAA
rnacentral:lncRNA from 1 species